CGUCUCCCACUGGUCCCAUCGUGGUGCCGGGAAGAAGGAGGACCCUCUCUACAGAGUCCCCAGACUACCAACAUCAAAGCGUUAAAGAACUAAGUCACCCGGAGGGUCCACUGCUGCAGCCGGAUGACAGAAAGACAUAAAUUGCAUUUCUGACGGCGCACAACUCCCCCCCUCAACCGUACCAUGCGCGUCGUACCCCCGUCGACCAGACCAUCGCUGAUGGUUUCACGGGUCCGGCCCCCUACCUAAGAUGAGUUUGACACCCCUCUACUGGUCACUAACGCCUGCCUGGUUAAAGACAUUUGGACAUCUCUCCCGUAGAGGCGUCAUGGUGUCCUAACGGUGUCUCAGGCGACGCUACCACAUGUUGAAUUUUCCAGGCAUUGUGAUGAGCUCUCUCCAUUUACUUUGGUUGACUCUCAGCGUAAAUGUGACUUAAUCAAUGUGUCAUUCAGCAGUGAUUUAUUUCUUCUAAAAGGACAUACGGGUCAGCCGGGCCUGGGAUCGAACCGCCAACCCUCUGAUUGGAGGACGACCGCGAUCCCCACUCACCCACAGUCGCCCGACUCACUGUGGUGAACCGUGUACGGGAAUCUGCCACAUUGGCCUCGAUGUUGUCUGUUCCUGUGCAUGGAGAAGCUGCAGGUCGCUCCUCUCCUCUGCUCUUAUAGUUCAGGUGUCGUUAGUAAAUUAGCCGUAUGCUUGAUUGAUAGUGUAAUGGUUUAAUCAAUAUCAAUGCGUUGACUCCAUCACCUGCCGCGCUCCGAGCACCUCCAGCUCUCCGCCCUCUCUCCUGGCUUUUAUGAAGCCAUUCCUCAUUGUGUCCGCUGCAUCACUGCCGUAUCUUUCCCACAAUGCCUCUGCUCUGCUGCCUCAACGCUCAUCAUCCCUUGAGUUUAGGCUCACGUAAAUGAACCCUUUUAUAAAAAUGAUAAAGCAAUCGUAAAAGACUAAUUUGGACUAAAACGUCACACUUCAAACGAAGGCAGGUGACUUCAUUGUAAAACACGUACACGUGCAAGAAGGAACCCGACAACGCUGAGGGAAAGGGUUGAAAUAAACAAGUCCACGAGGCAGGGGAUGCUUUGGGGCGGGGCUACUGUGAGUGACAGGUCUCCACCAGACUACAUAGCGGACGGGUUUAUCAGAUACUGGACCCUCCCCCGGGGGGGCUCCGGUUUUGUUUCCUUAAAGAUGCUUUGCUUAAAAUAGGUUCCAUCAAACUUUAAUCUCACAACUUUGGAAAUCAGAUGUCGGCGUCUUCUCAGGUAGAGACCUGUCAAUCAGCGUGUAGCCCCGCCCCAAAGCGUCCUCUGCUUCAUGGUCUGUUUGACUCUAAAUGGACCAUGAUUCACUAAAUGAACAUCAUGCUGUACUGAAUAAGACUUGAAAGACUUGUUUACUGAGGGAAUAAAUCCAGCAGAAAAAGAGUAAUUUCCUCAUAGACGUCUAUGGGAGCAGAGGAGUCGCCCCCUGCUGGUCACUACAGAGAAGUAGAGUCAUUUCCUCAUAGACGUCUAUGGGAGCAGAGGAGUCGCCCCCUGCUGGUCACUACAGAGAAGUAGAGUCAUUUCCUCAUAGACGUCUAUGGGAGCAGAGGAGUCGCCCCCUGCUGGAGAGAAGACCUUUUAGUCCAAUGGGUAUUUGCCUAGAAUGAUAGACCCCCCCGCCCAAACCCAACGUUUUAUGGUGGAUGACAUAUGAUGUUAUUUCCAUGAAGGAAUAACAGGAGCCCCCCAGCAAAGACAUCUCAGGCUUCCUUUCUUUCUAAUAGCUCUGUGAUUUCUCCAUAAAAGCUCAUGAAGUAUAAUCGAUCCCGUGUUUCAUAUCGCUGGUGUCAGACAGUCACUCUGUAUUCAGAAGCAUUUUAUUGCCUUCUAACGCUGCAAUGUUCUGCUAAUGCUGCGGUCUGAGUCUCUCUCAUCGUUACCGUCGUCCGUGUCCAUCCAGCGGCUCACAGGAGGAACCUUCUGCCACGAAUAUCUCACAACAACAGCGGACAUGUGACACCCAGUGACUUGGCGUCCGUUUGUGUGAGCGGUGUGUGGCUCCAGAUGUUAACGAGCCCACAGAGAGCGACGGAGGUUCUGGUGGUGCACAUUGGGGUGGGGUGGGUCGGGGGGGGGGCUGUCCUGCCUCAAGAACUCCCCAGAUGAGCCCCUCACACGGACGGGACAACGGGGGUAAGAAAACUCACGGCGGCGACGCCACAAGCUACUGAAGUAGUGAGGUGAAUGGGAGACGCGUGCGGCCAUUUUGAACAGAGGAGGGAGCGUGGCGGGGGAGGGGGGGAGGAAGGGGAGGGAGAACAGGAUCUUGAAGAAUCCCCCACGGAGACGGAUCGCACAGCAGUCGCUUGCUUGCAAUGUUUCACUUACAGCACCAGUCACAUGUUGCCACAUCACAUAAACAUCAUCCCCCACACACACACACACACACACACACCUCUUACCAGCAAUCCAGUAAUGUCUGCUCAGGCAUGGCGGCACAUGUAACUGUUUUCUCUGCUUUGCUGUCAGCCCCCCCGACACACAAUGUCCGUAAUGAUGAUUCUCCACGAGACCCUUCGAGGAACAUAAUCUCUUUUUACAACACAAUCAGGCAAACAGCGGAACAUUAUUCCCUUUACUCAUUUUGCAGCCGCCACCUGCAGCAUUGCGCUGCCUGUGUGUUUGGUAAAUUGGUUUUAUUGCACCUCAUGUUGCGAUGAUGAUGGUUGCCGUGCGAGCACUUCAACUAAAGUGGAUUCUGGAGGCAGAGACACCGUUUCGGCUCACGUGAUCGUCUUCUUCUCUGGAGCGGCUUUGUUCGCCAAUGCCACAGUGUCAUAAUUGGUCCUGAUGUGAUUUGAUGUUGCUUAUUGGGCCUACCAAUUAAAACCAGUUGACAAUUUCCAUUGUUGUCGGGCCGUUUCGGUCACACACAAGCAGACUGGUGUCAAAACACCAAAUGACUCCCAGUUAUUAUCCCUUUUCACCCACGCAGAUGUUUGUCGGUUUAAUUGCCUCACUUUGUCCUCACUGGUUGGAAUUGGACAUUUUACCAGCAAGUAGCGCACACAACGAACUCCAUAUGAAAGACGGAUACUGUAAACCGCCCCAUCCCCCCGGCGGACACAGAGGUCGUGUCGUUAGCGGCUCCUAUUAGCGUGUUGUUCUCCGGAACAUUUCCUGUGACGCGGUGUUCUGUUCCUGGAAGGGAAGCAGCUGCAGGGGAGUGAGGCGGAUACCGAUCCAGCACAGCGUGUACACGCCCCCACAGUGCAGACCUGCAAUUAGGCAAAAGAGAGGACACCUGUGGGGGGGGCAGGGCCUCCGCCAUACGACGGGUGUGAAGAGUCUUGUGUGUUUUAACGGGGAAAGAAAGAACAUCAGCGACAUCGGUGGACCUUAAAUCGCACGAUCCGAAAGCUGCCGCUGGUUUGUUGAUAUGAAAAUCACACAUCACAGCCUCCACCCGACCCCCCACCGUGAAAAUAUCUGUUCAUCUCCAAUGUGUCCUCCACGCCGCGAGAUGCUCGGAUGGAGGCCGCCGACCAAACGGGCUUUUAUCAGGAGAACUUGGUAAACACCAGCAAAUUCAAUCCGACAAAAUCAUUUUUCCCUCGACACUUUCUUCACUUUGCAGGAGGCUGUUUCUUAAUUUCCCAUUUCCCCCGAGCGGCGGCAGCAAUGUUCUUGCGUACGAAAAUCCAAUAUCGGUAUUCAACUUGAGCUUAAUAAAAGAAAAUAAUGCGUUUCCCUCCCGGCAGUGGGUGGAAACACACUGUUAAUACGGCCAAUUGACUGCGUCCUUUUAGUAAAGUGCGCGAUUAUUUUUCCUCACUUUUCUUUGGUUGUUCGAGGUGAAUCCAACGUUGUGUGUCUAGUAUUCUAUUUCUAUUCAAGCAGCUGUAAAAAGUCUCGGAGAACAAUUCAGUAAUUGGAAGCAAAGUACUUUAUGAUUCAAUGUUCAAUCAAGCUAAAACCGUGUUGUGGUAAAAGUCAUUUUGUACAAUUUGGCUUUUUUCUUGGUUGGUUCAUCAUUAGUGAAACAAAGAGGCGGCUGCGUUUUAAUGGAGUCACAGUCCUCCGUUCGCUUUAACGCAUUGCCGUCGAGAGAGGUUGCCUGUUUGAGUCCCAGACUAAAUUGACAUUCUUUACCCCACAUCUUGCUUGGAGGUUCUUGUGCAGGGACCCGGCUGUGAUGCAGGGUCUACGUUCUUCUUUCGUCUCUCAAACACGGAUCCUGCUCAUUGCACAGUGGUGAGUUUGCACAUGAGCUCUACUAUGAAGUCAAAUGGGACCAGAGGACAUAUUGUCACACACGUGGGUAAGAAUGGGCGGCAAAAGCCUCUCCAGUUAAAUGAAACCAUAAUGACAGAUAUUUUUUAAAUAAGAAGCCUCAGAAGCCCAUUUUUAUAAUCAGCUGAACAUCAUUCUUGUCAUGUAAAAAAAGAUGAAUCUUUGUAUUACUGGUUCCCUUUUUCCUUUGCUCUUCUCCAAAUGACUUCUAGAGUCUUAUUCUCUUCUCAUUCUCAUCUCUCUCGCUGCCCCCCAAACCUUCUGGAGCCAAGCAGCCCGUCCAAAACAUUUACAGUUCUGGAGAGGAAGAGAGACAGCGACAGGAGAACCACCAAAGACCAUGGGAGACCAAACAAGUUAGAGGACAAGGGGAGGCAGCUGAGCGGGCUAAACAUUCAUGGGAGACUGAAAGAGAACGGAUUAAGGGACGGGGGUGGGUGGAGAGAGAGGGUAAGGUGGGUGGGUGGAGAGAGAGAGAGGGUAAGAUGGGUGGAGAGAGAGGGUAAGGUGGGUGGGUGGAGAGAGAGAGGGUAAGAUGGGUGGAGAGAGAGGGUAAGAUGGGUGGAGAGAGAGGGUAAGGUGGGUGGAGGGAGAGGGUAAGAACAGCUGGAGGAGGCAACGGGUGGAUGAACGAUGAGCAGGAGGGAAACUGGGAAAAAUCCCACAGCUCCAAAGCAAGAAGAAGGCUGUUAGAACCAAACCUGUUCCCCCCACAACACCAGCCUGAGUUUCAUGAGACUGUUGAUUAAUUAAGUCAGUGAUCACCUUGCCAGCUGGUUUAAUAUUUGACUUUCAAACCGCAUUGACUCUCGUUAUUAAUUGGGAGCAUCUCAUCUCUAUUGUUUGUCUUUGGAUUUUAUUUUCUUCCAACAUGUUCAAUAAAUAAAUGCUGCGUGAGAAUCGGCGGAUGACCAGAGGUUUGGCACGACGUCAUGGAUGGAUCAGAGCCUGGCGGCUGUGUACUCGGCUCAGGCCUGAGCUUUAGAGUCAACGACGUGUAUAACUGGCAAAGGUUGACCCAGUGCUUCUUUAGUACCAACUCCCUCCUUGGUUUUACACAUUUGGACUGCGAGGUCGGAGUCUGCCGCUUCCUGCUAACAGAUAAACCCGUCCAAAUAUGCUCCAUCCUCAAUUAUGUAUCCAGGGACACAUGGUUAGUCCCGGAUUACGUCCUCAGAGAGCAGUAGUUGGUGAGGGGGGGUUGGAAUAGAUUACAGGCCGUCUGGAUGUCAGGGGCUGGACAGACAUGAAUACAGGUACACCGCACAGAGAAGAACACUUUCUGCCUUCAUGAUGGAUCGACUGGAAGCAGUAGGAGGACUGGAGGACUGCACGAGUCCUUGAAUUGAACUCCAACUUUCUGCCAACAGAACAACCCAAACAUCCGGCGUUCACACUGCAUCAACGUUAUGGAGAUUACCAAAGCAAUGAAGACAUUGGUAAGAACCAAAGACAAUGAAGACAUCGGUAAGAACCGAAGAGGAUGCAGACAUCGAUAAGAACCAAAGACGAUGGAGACAUUGAUAAGAACCAAAGACAAUGAAGACAUCGGUAAGAACCAAAGACAAUGGAGACAUCGGUGUGAACCGAAGACAAUGGAGACAUCGAUAAGAACCAAAGGCAAUGAAGACAUUGAUAGAAAGGCGGUUUCCUUUUUGCCACAGGUUGAAUACCAGCCGGCAAACUUUGAGGUAGAAUAAAGAUGUUUCCUUAUUGUUUCCCUUUGCUCACACCAGCAUACCUGCUCAUUAUCAAACAAACCAUCGUACAUGAAUGUGGAUAGCACCAACUCAGCUUAGUGACGUCUUCUGUAUUGAUCUCCUUGUUCAUCUGGACCGAAGAUUCUUUUCCACUUUCUUCAUGAAUCCGUGUUCCUAAGCAUCCCAAUCAGCUUCGCCUGUGAGUCAAUCAGGCUUAGCUUCAGUUACAAGAAAUAGAAUUGGUUUGACGGCAGGUUAACAAACCUCCCGUCCAAUGAAUGAGUGACCGUGUGUGCUCCACAUUACAAACACACACACACACACAUACUGACACAACAAGUACUGCUUCCGCCAACCGGAGCCGCCGGUUCAGUGGCGUGAGAGCGGAAGUCGUCUGAAGUUCGAUUUGAAAAGAGGCGUAACGAGUGGAACCUUCUCGCUCCGGAGGAUUGAUGUGGAACGUUAUUCAGGAAUCAUUUUAAUUAAGUGACUGCGUCCUCGCUGACUUUCCAACACUGCUUGUUGGAUCUACUCAUCUGAGUGAAAGUCACACAACGUCCCACUCGGUGACUGAAGGGUUUCCGUUAUCACAGCCUGGUCAAAUUACUGUUGUCUGACUCAACAUUUAAAUGGUCUCCUUUGUACAUUAAUAAAUGAUGACAGUUGUCCAAAUCCUAGUUGAAUUCAACAAAGUUGCGAUCCGAUUAGAACCGAUUAAGACCGACUACUUGAGAGUCACGCGUCCACAGAAUGAAUUCGCCCCUGAUGACAGUUUAAUGGGGGUGGGAGGGGUUGUCCAUUGGGGGAGGGGCUUUAGUGUACAGCAGACUGCUGUGGCACGUCGCCUCGUCACUCAACAAAACAAACCAACAAGCCAGACAACUUCUGGACUCUGGUGAGGACCGAACAACAGCAGAUCACAGCUGUCUUGGUUUGGUUGUUGGACGCCACUCUGGUAUCACCAUGCCGCUCCAUCAGGAUUCCGCCCCUGUAAUCCCCGACUGUCGUCGCAGGUGGAUGCCUCCUUCCCCUUUUCACGCAGAUACUAGAUAAGAGGUUUGAGAGCGCCUCGUCUCUAUUUUCAAACCCUCUCCAGGCUCCUAAGUGUUCGCGAACAAUCAAGAUUCUCCGGCGAUAGCGUCGCCCCGCCUCGGGUUUAUCUUGAUUACCAUCCGGAAAGCUUAUUUUCAUAUUGGGAGUUUGGAAUUGAUUUUGUAUCCCCGCGUGGAGCCGAUGGAGUGAAGCCGAGCGGAUCGGUUGGCUGCAGAUGGAGAACAACCCGAAUCCUCACAGGCUGGAAGACGGAGGCAGGAACCGAGAGCCGUGAGGGACCGAGGAGACCUCAGAAAACAGAGAGCAGUGAUGGGCCGCAGAGAUUAGAAGGUGACAAUCAGACUCUUUAAAUUGUCUUUUACUGAUUCUUGUUCCCUCCGCUUGGCUCUCUUGUGGCGCCUGCUUCCCGCUUCACAUAAAAACUCUUUGGAUCACAUCUUAAAGGAGCGUCUCUGUCUCCCCUUUGGCCUCCGCCAUCUCUCCACUGCUAAGUCACCUCUCUCAUUUAACAAUGCAGCCACUCAGCUUUUACCACCACGUCACCUCUCCACCGGUCUCCCCUUCACACCAGCGCUUCUUCCCAUCUACUCAAUUGGAUUCAGUCCAGCUGCUGUUUGCUUUCAGGUGCUGUCGGGUACUGAUGAACAAACGGGAGCGAAAGGAAGCGCUUUGUGUGCAGAACGAUCAGCGUCCGUCGUUAUUCUGUGUGGUUCUGCUGCGCUGACCGAUGUUGACCAAGAAUUUUUACAAGAUGAGAUAGAGAUAUUCACAUUGAGAAGGACGUUAACGUAUGAAUAACACAGGACUUAAACCUGAAUCAACAUGGCAUCCUGUCCACGUCUGAUCUGAUUACUUAAGUCCUUUUUCCUCCUCUGUCGGUUUCACAUCAUCCAUCUUUCUGCUUCCCGUGAUCGAAUUUUGAUUCAUUGCGUUGGCAGCAUAAAUAGAUAAGAAAACAUGGUGCACAUGUAAACAAUCCGCCUUCUUGUCUCCCGCCUGCUUUCCCCGUCCUCACAGUCAUUUUUCACAUCACUUAAUUGAAAGAGGGAAUCAAUUGAGGAGAUGAAACUAGUCCUGAGAUUGAAUUUGAGGGAAAAGACCAUUUCAUGACGUGAGUUAUUCAAGAGGUCGACAGGUCAGCAGAGAGAAGCGAUAGCGAAGGACUUCACUCAACCUCUGAAGGGUUUUGAGGUUCAAAAGGACACUGGUGGGACAUCUGUCCACUCUUCACUAUGUGUCUCCUUCAAACCAUUUCAUCACUGCCCUCACAGCUGUUGACCAAAGGAUAAACAUCUUGGACCUGUGACCCAGAAUCCUGCUGGUAGAAUCUUCCACCUGAACUAAAUCCACAGGAAGGAUCAAGAACCAGCAUCUGUCUGUGUCUCAGAGGACCACCGGCGGAUGAAGAUGAAGGCAAAGGGCGGUUUGUUUCAUGCUUUAGUAAAUGUUCCACGGUCCAAAUGAUAUAAAAAUGGCUUAGAACAAACAGCAAUGCUGUAAAAUGUCCAUUAUGAUAAAGAAAGACAGCGAGCAAUAAGAGUACGAGCCAGAAAUAUGAACAGGUUUUACUCCGAUAAAUACGUGACUGUAAAGUUAGCAUCUGCUCUUUGUUAACAUAAUCCCACAGUGUUUAUGGAGCAGCUUCUUCAGAGUGGAUACGGAUCACUGCCUUGCUUGAAGGCAUCUCAGCGGCUCCCAGAUGCCAGAAUGUUGUGAGCCAGCCGCUCCAGUUCCAAACCCACUCCUCAUCUCCGCCAUCCAAAGAGCUCGCAGCUAGGUGCGCUGGCCCGGGACGGCAGCGCUCCGUGUUCCUCUGUGGGAACAGAUGUCUCCGGCUCUCCGGGUCAGUUGGGCCGAGCUGAAAGACGCAGACGUCUUUCAGUCGGAAGGCCUGUCAAGAAUAAAGAAGAAUAAAAAAGGUGUGUCGUCGCGGGGAGACCGACGGCGUGUCACGGCCGUCUUUUCAACGUGGCUUUGAUCAUCUGUCACGUCCGGAGAUCCAGUCUGUGAGAGCGGAUCCCGUUAGAUCUCGUUAAAUCUUGUUGGAUCUUGUUAGAUCCCGUUUGAUCUCGUUAGAUCUUGUUAGAUACCGUUGGAUCCCAUUAGAUCUCGUUGGAUCCCGUUAGAUCUCGUUAGAUUCCGUUAGAUCUCGUUGGAUCCCGUUAAAUCUUGUUGGAUCUCGUUAGAUCUCGUUAGAU
ensembl:lncRNA